rnacentral:lncRNA from 1 species
AAUAAGUUAAUGUAGGUUCCACACUGAUGCAAUUCUAGAAAAGUCGAAAAUGGUAGUACAUACAAGAAUUAAAGUCAUUAUUAUUAUAACAGACAUAAAACAUAAUCAUGAUGAACAAAGGACAUAGGAACCUUUCAACCAAUUUGAAAUAAACCAUCACCUUUAAGAGACCAGAAAUGCGGCAGCUAUAAGUGGCAUCCUCUCCAUCAGCAAUGACCUGGUUGGCAUCCACAGACCAGGUAUGUACCUAAAAGUAUCUAGAAUAAAAAUAGUCAAGGAUAUUUGUCAGAAAAGAACUUUAAAGCACCAUAUGCAAAAACUAACAUCUUGCAUUCAAUCACAAAAUAAUGAGUUAAAAAUAAUCAUCAGGUACAACGCAUUAAAGAAAUGAAACUAAAACCCAGGUUUAUCAAACUAAAGUAUAGACCCACUGCUGUAGUAGAUGCACUUGCACGUGUAUUUUGCACAGAAACUGAAAGACCAUUAUUAACUAAUCAAAUUACAAAUAAAAAUCAAACAAAUAUACAAUCAAUUGAAUUAGGANN